rnacentral:lncRNA from 1 species
UCUGAUUCUACUUCCUCCACAAGCUUCAGCAUGGCAGUAUCUCCCACCACUUGUUUUGGUCCAAGGGCAGAAAUGAGCAUCCUGGAAACCAAUCAGUACUUGUGCUCUGAACUGGAAAAGUGCAAAGAGAACUUCCUCGACCUCACAGAGAAAUUCCUGACAUCCAAAGCUACUGCCUACUCCCUGGCCAAUCACCUGCAGAAAUAUAGAUACGUGAUCCCUUGCUCAGGCUGAAGAACUGACCCACUUACAACAGAAGAUGCAGGAAGGGAGAAGUGUCUGCUACCUUUUCACCCAGCAUGUGAAGAACACAGUCAAGUCUUUUGGGGCCUUCUCAGGAACACUGGCAUUGCCUACUACCAGAGACAGAGAUUCUGUGAGCAAAUGGUACAAGGAAGCCAGCUGACAGAGAUCCUUGUCAGAAAACUUGCCACAGAGUGUUGCUCUCUUACCCAAGCUGGAGUGCAGUGACAUGAUCUUGGCUGACUGCAAUCUGUGCCUCCUGGGCUCAAACAAUCCUCCCACCUCAGCCUCCCAAGUAGCUGGGACUACAGAAUCACCCCCAAUUAUCACUAACAAACUGAGAAGAAAAAAAAAAGAACUCCCCCCAAGAACAUCUGAGGAAGCACAACAGGGACAGACUUGAAGGCACCUGGGCAGUCCUCUGGUUUUGCAGUAGAGAAAAUCACAAUGGUAAGAAAAAUGAAGACAGACAAAAGCCACUGGCUCCCAGGAUGCACCUCUAACCUCUACAGGCACAUCAUAGAUUCCAUUGCCCAGCUGUAUAAUGAAAACAGAGUUCUCAGAGAAUACCGGAGACUCCCCUGACUUGCCUGAAUCAAGUUUCCAGAGGCUGAAGAGGAGGAAAUACAGGAAUUAUUGGUCUUGCUGUUCAGGGUGGCAGAGGAGGAAGAAAAUCCCAGUCGUCUUGGAAAUGCACAGAAAGAAUAUGAAAAGCAGUUUGUCCUGUACAGUAUCUGCAAUCAGUUAUGAUACAGAAAUAACUUAGUUAAACAUGUCAAGAAAGAUGAAUGCAGAUAUUAUGAGGAAAUGCUAAAGUACAGCUGAGAUCAUCUCAUGCUGUACCCUUACCAUCUAUCGGAUAUUAUGGUGAAGGGCUUGAGGAUAACACCAUUUUCAUAUUAUACUGGGAUUAUGGAGAAUAUUAUGAACAGUGAGAAAAGUUAUGAUUCAUUGCCCAAUUUUACUGCUGCUGACUGUCUAAGGCUUCUUGGCAUAGGAAGAAACCAGUACAUUGAUCUUAUGAAUCAGUGUAGAUCAUCAAAAAAAUUCUUCAGAAGAAAAACAGCCCGUGAUCUUCUACCAAUAAAGCCAGUGGAAAUUGCCAUAGAGGCGUGGUGGGUGGUGCAGGCUGGACAUAUCACAGAAGAUGACAUCAAGAUAUGCACUUUGCCUGAGAAAUGUGCUAUUGAUAAGAUCAUCAAUUCAGGCCCUCAACUCUCUGGAUCACUGGAUUACCAUAUAGUAAAUAGUUUGUAUAACAAAGGAUUUAUUUAUCUGGAUGUACCAAUAUCUGAUGACAGUUGUAUAGCAGUUCCACCUCUUGAAGGUUUUGCAAUGAAUCGAGUGCAAGGUGAUUAUUUUGAAACUCUACUCUAUAUUUGUUUCAAUAGAUGAGCACAUAAAUGUGGCAGAGCUUGCAAAUGUCCUUGAGAUUGACUUAUCCCUGGUUAUGAAUGCUGUUUCAAUGUAUUGCUGAUUGGGCUUUGCCCAUAAGAAGGGUCAAGCAAUAAAUUUGGAUCAACUUCAUUCAUCAUGGAAGAAUGUUCCAUCUGUAAACAGAUUAAAGAAGACCUUAGAUCCACAGAAGAUGCUCUUGUCAGGGGAUGAAGGGGAAAGUAGCAGUCCUGUACAAGAAGCUUCAUCGGCAACUGAUACUGAUACAAAUAGUCAAGAAGAUCCAGCUGACACAGCCAGUGUAAGCAGGCUGAGUCUGUCUACAGGACACACGAAACGCAUCACAUUCCUGUUUGACUCACUCUUACUGCCUUCUUAAUGAUGGGAUAUCUUUCACCAGUUCAGAGCACUGGUGAAGGAGAAGCACAGAGAUAUUUUGAUCAUGCACUUACUCUGAGAAACACAAUACUGUUUCUGCAUCACAAUAAAGAUCUAGUUGUGCAAACUGCACAGCCAGACCUACCCAGUUAUGGUUUUCCUCUGGAUCUCUUAUACUGUGAAAGCCUUCUUGGUCUGGACCCUGCAACUUGCAGCAGAGUUCUAAACAAAAAUUACACACGGCUUGUUUCCAUGGCUCCUCUCACCAAUGAAAUCCAGCCUGUCAGCAGCUGCACCCCUCAGCAUAUUGGACCAGCUAUCCCAGAAGUCAGCUCUGUCUGGUUUAAACUGUACAUUUAUCAUAUCAUUGGACAAGGACCACCAUCCCUUUUAUUGUCCAAAGGUACAAGACUUCAAAAACUGCCAGAUAUAUUUCAGAGUUAUGAUUGAUUGCUAAUAACACCUUGGGGUCAUGAUCCUGGAGUAGUUCCUACCUCAAAUGUGCUCACGAUAUUGAAUGAUGCUUUAACACAUUCUGCAGUUUUAAUUCAGGGGCAUGGUCUGCAUGGGGUAGGAGAAACUGUCCAUGUCCCAUUUCCAUUUGAUGAAACAGAACUACAAGGAGAGUUCACUCAUGUCAAUAUGGGUGUUCAUAAAGCAUUGCAGAUACUAAGGAACAGUGGACUUACAACAUCUCUGCGGAAAUGUCAUCAUGUUGAAUGCUUCCAGCCAACUUGCAAAUGGAAAACUCAGUGAUGCUUCUGAUGAGAGAGGAGAACCUGAUUUGGCUUCUGGCUCAGAUGUAAAUGGGAGUACAGAGUCAUUUGAAAUGGUCAUUGAGGAAGCAGCUAUAGAUUCAGCAACAAAGCAAACCUCUGGUGCCACAACAGAAGCAGAUUGGGUUCCUCUCGAGCUGUGCUUUGGAAUUCCACUGUUCAGUUCCAAACUAACCUGGAAAGUUUGUAGGAAAAUUGCUACACAUGGCCUUUGCAGAAAUGAGAGGCUUCAAAACCUCUUACAUUCCAGAAGUCUCUCUGCAAGUCCUUAACUUUGUUCACUCAUUCCAGGAAGGUGCUUCAACAUUGGAUAUUCACACAGAACCCAGUGUUUCAAGUUUGCUUUCACAGUCAUCGUAGGCUGACAUGGGUGCUCCACUUUCUGCAAAAAACUUAAUAUUUAAAGAUGGUGUCUUAUCAGAAGGGAGUAGAUGGUCACCUUCCUCACCUCUUAUUGCUAAUCUCCAUUUGCAAUAAUUUGGUUACACCGUUUGUUGUUCACACUUUCUGCCUUUUUUCUUUCUUAAUGUUAGCUUUAUAGUGUCAGCCACUAAAAAGCAUCCUGCUGCUGUGGAGCAAUUCUUGCUUAACUAAUAUUAAAAGUUUGGGGAAGAUAUUCAUGUUUUCUGAAGUUUUGCUCAUUAUUGCACAUCUUAUUGCAACAACGUGCUUUUUAGCAGCCAGCACUGUAUUUUUUACCUUGAGACAAUCUACAUUUCUUUUAUAAAACUAAGUAUAUACUUCAUAGGUUUUAUGAUGACUGUUAUGUUUAUAAGCAAUCACUAUGAAAAUUGCAAUGGUAAUUUUAUAUGUUAGUUUAUCAAACAUAAAUCUUGUUUAAUUUUAUAUUUUGUUACCUAUAUUUUUGGGGAUCAAGGGAAGAGAUGGAACUCUUCCUCUGAAAAGGUGUCUUGGUACUUAAAGUAGUAAAACUAUAAAGCAAUAAACAUCCAGUAUUGAGAGAUGAUAUGAUAGGGCAUUAUGAAUUCCUAUGGGUGUCUAAAUUAUGUAUGUCAGUUGGACAUUGUAGAAGGUAUGUAAAUCAGCAUAGAUACGUAUAACUUAACCUUGAUUUAUAAGGUCUUAACUCAGAUUAUGACUAUUCAUUGACAUCUCAUGAGAAGCUUUAGAAAACUUUCUAUUGUUAAACACCAUUUAUAUGUGGACUUCUGUUGUCACUGACUUCAGGCUUUAUAUUUUCAUAGAGUCUUUAUGGAUAAAAUAGAAUUUAUUUUCCACUCUUGUAGCUAUAGCUGCUGCACAAUUUCACCCUGAUUUAUUUUUUUGUUUCUUAGCUUUGAUGUUUUCAAACCAAGGAUUGUGAUUUUAGGUUAGAAUUACAUAUUAGAAGCAUUAAGACUAUGUCUUUGGAUCAGAAUGCUUUAGUGAUAAACCUACUUUGAAGACAUACUCUUAAGCAAUCUGGAUCUUAAAUUUAUGUGAAUUUUUUUUAGAAAAUGAUAAAGAAAAAUGGAAUUACUUCAAAGCAUUUCUUGAGUCAUUGUUUCUUUUAGCAUCUCAAAUGUUAAUUAGAAUAAUUGGAAUCACUUUUUAGACUUUUCAAGUUACCUUCCUUGGGAAGUUUGUAUAGUGUUACAGUUUAGUUUAGCUCCUCUUAUAUGGUAAUGGUUUGCUAGUUUAAAACUGUAACCAAACAAACUGGUCAGACAACAUAGAUCUAAAACACUUAAAAUGUUAGAAAGCUUGGGAAUGUUAUAACCUAAGCGUUUUUGCUGACAACUUUUUGUUAUUUAUAGAUAUUUAUGUAUUUAACAUACCUACUUCUAAAACUUAACCACACAUUUCCUAAAACUUAACCAUACAUCCACUACCAUAGCCUAUCUAUAGAAUUGAAUAUUUUGGACCAUGUUAUCUGUGGCACAGUCAGUGCUGUGUUUGAGGUAAAUGCAGUAAUGGUUAGUUUUCUACUUUGUCUUAUAGAAGGUAGAAACCAUGUGUAUGUUAUGUUUGUCUAUGGAAGAAAAAAUACUAAUAUUAAAUAAUUUCUUAUGACUGUGAGUCACUCACUUAUUUUUUCCAGUAAUAGAUAUUGUACAUUCCUAGUGCCAUUAGGUAUGUAUGUAUGUAACUUUUACAGUUUUUCCGCUGAAAGUUGUAUUUUUUUUUUUAAAUCAGGGCUCUUUAAUCUCAUUUUAAUUUCCUUUGUUUGAAUGAACUGUAGUUAUUUUAUUUAUUCCUAUAUUAACCGUCUAAACCAACUGUAAUGACAUGUACACUAAUAAAGAAUUCAACAUUCGUAGUUUU